UACGUAGGGUCCGAGCGUUGUCCGGAAUUACUGGGCGUAAAGAGUUCGUAGGUGGUUUGUCACGUUGUUCGUGAAAACCCACAGCUCAACUGUGGGCGUGCGAGCGAGACGGGCAGGCUAGAGUACUGCAGGGGAGACUGGAAUUCCUGGUGUAGCGGUGGAAUGCGUAGAUAUCAGGAGGAACACCGGUGGCGAAGGCGGUGCUCUGGGCCGAAACUGACGCUGAGGAGCGAAAGCGUGGGUAGCAAACAGG
rnacentral:rRNA from 1 species